AGCAGCCGCGGUAAUUCCAGCUCCAAUAGCGUAUAUUAAAGUUGCUGCAGUUAAAAAGCUCGUAGUUGAAUUUCGGGACUAAUAUGUCGGUCGUGCCUCGGUACGUACUGGCUUAUUGGUUUCUCCUUUCUGAAGAACCAUGAUGUCAUUUAUUUGGUGUCGUGGGGAAUCAGGACUGUUACUUUGAAAAAAUUAGAGCGUUUAAAGCAGGCUCACGCUUGAAUACAUUAGCAUGGAAUAAUGAAAUAGGACGUUUGAUUCUAUUUUGUUGGUUUCUAGGAUCGACGUAAUGAUUAAUAGGGAUAGUUGGGGGCAUUAGUAUUCAAUUGUCAGAGGUGAAAUUCUUGGAUUUAUUGAAGACUAACUACUGCGAAAGCAUUUGCCAAGGAUGUUUUCAUUAAUCAAGAACGAAAGUUAGGGGAUCGAAGACGAUCAGAUACCGUCGUAGUCUUAACCAUAAACUAUGCCGACUAGGGAUCGGAUGAUGUUAAUUUUUAAUGUACUCAUUCGGCGCCUUAAC
rnacentral:misc_RNA from 1 species